rnacentral:rRNA from 1 species
CGUGUAGGCGGUCAAGCAAGUCAGGGGUGAAAGGCAUCGGCUCAACCGAUGUAAGCCUUUGAAACUGUUUGACUUGAGUGCAGGAGAGGUAAGUGGAAUUCCUAGUGUAGCGGUGAAAUGCGUAGAUAUUAGGAGGAACACCAGUGGCGAAGGCGACUUACUGGACUGUAACUGACGCUGAGGCUCGAAAGCGUGGGGAGCGAACA